GGGAGAGAAGAACUAGCCAACAGUUUGGGAAGAGGCGCUAGAAGGAGGAGGGCAAAGAAUGUUCACAAAAUUCCGAUUCCUGGGAGACAAACUUGCUGUUACAGAAGAACCAGGAGAGGAUUCUGAGGACCCCAAAGAAGUUGCUGCCUCCCCAAAUCAUGGUGUGAAAAGCUGUCUGCCAAUCAUCCAACUGACUGUGAUAACACAUAUUUGGACCUCUUGUACAUAUCAACCAGAAGUCACAUAACAGAAGAGCUUUAGAAGCCACAGGAUUUAGAGACCAAGGAGCAAAAGGGGCCACUGGAACAGAAAAUCGAUAAGAAGCAGUAAGAGCUCAGAGAAAGACUUUGUCAACGACUUUGAAUCCUCUGUAAAGUCAAGAAAAAUAG